AUUCAGCUGACAUCCCAAAUAGGACGAAACGCGCGUCCUGGAU
rfam:Schistosoma mattheei strain Denwood, Zambia genome assembly, scaffold: SMTD_scaffold0016159